UACGUAGGGUGCAAGCGUUAAUCGGAAUCACUGGGCGUAAAGCGCACGUAGGCGGACUCUUAAGUCGGUGGUGAAAUCCUGGAGCUCAACUCCAGAACUGCCUUCGAUACUGGGAGUCUCGAGUUCGGGAGAGGUGAGUGGAACUGCGAGUGUAGAGGUGAAAUUCGUAGAUAUUCGCAAGAACACCAGUGGCGAAGGCGGCUCACUGGCCCGAUACUGACGCUGAGGUGCGAAAGCGUGGGGAGCAAACAGG
rnacentral:rRNA from 1 species